rnacentral:rRNA from 1 species
CUAGCCGUAAACGAUGGAUACUAGGCGUUGUGAGUAUCGACCCUCACAGUGUCGUAGCUAACGCGUUAAGUAUCCCGCCUGGGGAGUACGCGCGCAAGCGUGAAACCCAAAGGAAUUGACGGGGGCCCGCACAAGCGGUGGAGUAUGUGGUUUAAUUCGAUGCAACGCGAAGAACCUUACCAGGACUUGACAUGUCGCGAAUCUCAGGGAAACUUGAGAGUGCCUUCGGGAGCGCGAACACAGGUGGUGC